rnacentral:rRNA from 1 species
ACGCUCGACACCUACGGGAGGCAGCAGUAGGGAAUCUUCCACAAUGGGCGCAAGCCUGAUGGAGCAACACCGCGUGAGUGAAGAAGGGUUUCGGCUCGUAAAGCUCUGUUGUUGGAGAAGAACGUGCGUGAGAGUAACUGUUCACGCAGUGACGGUAUCCAACCAGAAAGUCACGGCUAACUACGUGCCAGGAGCCGCGGUAAUCUGAGCGGGCUGGCAAGGC